CAAGGUUGAAAAAUGUUACGGAUUUAAUGAUGUGGAUCCUUUGACCGGAAGUGUUGGCGCGCGCGCUCGUCUUAGCGCGCUCGCGCAACAUCUUCACUGAGCAGUCUCAUCCCAAGGUUUAUCCUGUGAAGUCCCCCGCCGACCCUGGAUUCAAGGAUGUGAGUAGAGCUGAGGGAACUAAGAAUGUUUCUGUUCCUGGUUCUGGUUCUCUGGGUCCAGGUUCCUCCUGCCUGGCUUCAGCAGGAUGGAAAAGAUCCACUACUCCUGGAGUACAGUGAUUACUAUUACGAUCUAUACUAUGGAGACUACAGCUAUGAUGUACCAGGUAACCGAUUUCUCUCCACGAACCUUCCCUUCCUUCCCUUCUUAAUUCUCUCCUCCUAUCCCUCACAGUUUAUAUUUUCUCUCCACUAACCUUCCCUUCCUUCCCUUCUCAAUUCUCUCCUCCUAUCCCUCUCACUUUAUAUUUU